rnacentral:rRNA from 1 species
GUGCCAGCAGCCGCGGUAAUACGGAGGGGGCUAGCGUUGUUCGGAAUUACUGGGCGUAAAGGGCGCGUAGGCGGCGCGGCGAGUUGGGUGUGAAAGGCCCGGGCUCAACCCGGGAUGUGCGCUCGAUACUGCCGUGCUGGAGUUCGGGAGAGGAUGGCGGAAUUCCCAGUGUAGAGGUGAAAUUCGUAGAUAUUGGGAAGAACACCGGUGGCGAAGGCGGCCAUCUGGACCGGUACUGACGCUGAGGCGCGAAAGCGUGGGGAGCAAACAGGAUUAGAUACCCUGGUAGUCCACGCCGUAAACGAUGCGUGCUAGACGUUGGGGGGUUGCCUCCCGGUGUCGCAGCCAACGCGUUAAGCACACCGCCUGGGGAGUACGGCCGCAAGGUUAAAACUCAAAGGAAUUGACGG